AAAAAGAUACAAAAUCAAUUGGUUUGGAAUAAGACUGUUCUUCUAUGGGAUAAAAUAACAGGAAUCAAUGAUUUGUGUAGGAAAUGGUUCUGAAACAAGAAUUGUAUGUCCAAUCAAUUUAUCUCACAUGUUCAAAAGUUGCUAAAACUUUUCUUAGACAAGCAAGAACUCAGAGAGUGUGACAUCUAUAUGCUGUUGCUGAGAAAUUUCUCAGACAUAAUCUAGCUAAGAGGUGAAC
rnacentral:lncRNA from 1 species